AAUGUUGUGUUGUUUUUAGUAAGAAACUGAUCCACCUAACAUAGUCAUUUUUGUUACUUUUCCCUUUAGAUGUGCUUGACUUGUGCUAAUUCUUUAUAUUCUCAUUUUCUACUGGGGAAGAGCAGCCUGCGUUGUUAAGACAAAUAACUUGUCAUAGUCACUGUCAUGGCCAUGUAAAGAAUGAAGAAGCUUCUUCCUUCAGUGAUAAAUCUGUCACUACCAACUGACUGCAUUACUACCACAUGCACCUGUGCCCCACAAACUAAGGAGAACAGAGAUGGAGAAGCAAGUGGGUUAAAGUGACGGCAUCCACCAACUUUUCACCAUUCCUGAUUAUGUUAGUCUCCUCCCUCUGUGAAGCACGGAACGCUGGGAGAACCUGGACCCAUUUUUACGGCUGAGAAAGCAUGGAAAAGAAAAAUACCUCAAGCUGUACUGUAAUUCCAGCUCAUCACAGAAUAGAGAGUUAUUAAAAUGAUUUCUG
rnacentral:lncRNA from 1 species